rnacentral:rRNA from 1 species
UACGUAGGGUGCAAGCGUUAAUCGGAAUUACUGGGCGUAAAGCGUGCGCAGGCGGUUUUGGAAGCCAGAUGUGAAAGCCCCGGGCUCAACCUGGGAAUGGCAUUUGGGACUGCAAGGCUUGAGUGCGGCAGAGGAGACUGGAAUUCCUGGUGUAGCAGUGAAAUGCGUAGAUAUCUGGAGGAACACCGGUGGCGAAGGCGGCAUCCUGGACCGAUACUGACGCUGAGGAGCGAAAGCCAGGGGAGCAAACGGG